GCAACCAAUGACUGUAAGUUUUGGUUCCCAAGCUUUCUACUGAGUUUGAAACCAGAGGUUUUUGUUUCUGAGAGUAAAUCUGAGUUGAGUUGGACCAAAGUUUGAACCUUUUCACUGGCCAAUGCUAGACCCAUCAGUGUUUCUACAAGGAGGAAGCAAAUAAGAAAUGAUAGAGCCAUUUUGUCUGAAGCAAGUUUGGUGGGUUUUCCAGUGAGUUGUGGAAAGUUGAAGGCUUUUUGAUGUUCUUAUAUAUAGACCACUGGGAAUUUUCUGGAUCUGAAGAUGAAGGAGAUGCGGAAAUAUCCUGUUGUGAGAAUCCAGGUUUUUGUUUACUGGGUGAUAUAUGCUGUCUGCUGUACAAGGGGAAAUUGAUUGAAGAUGCACGUGGAAGCACUUUUGUUAAUACAAGUACGUGCAAGAUCAAGGGAACAGAGCUUUGUUUAAAGUUUAAACUAUUUGUGUUUGAUUUGCAUUACUGUGGUUAAGUUAUUGUGUGAGCUGUGAUUGUUGUCUGUUUUGAGUGUAGAUGAUUGGUUUGUUGAUUGAUAUCAGUGGGAGAAGCUGGUGAGAAGUUGCUUCAUUGUGUUAUGGGAUAUCUCAAAAAUCAUUGUCAAUCCGUGUGAGUCCUAUUUUUUAUUAUAGUGGAACUUUCGUCGCGGUUAUGUUUUAGUUUUAUGGAUCAGCUGACCGUUAAGAGCUUUAUUGACUACAUUAUGCUAAAAUAUAUUGAGUUAUGCUUGUUACGGUUAUGGGUUAA
rnacentral:lncRNA from 1 species